UACAGAGGGGGCAAGCGUUGUUCGGAAUUACUGGGCGUAAAGGGCGCGUAGGCGGCCUUCUAAGUCGAACGUGAAAUCCCCGGGCUCAACCCGGGAACUGCGUCCGAUACUGGAAGGCUUGAAUCCGGGAGAGGGAUGUGGAAUUCCCAGUGUAGCGGUGAAAUGCGUAGAUAUUGGGAGGAACAUCGGUGGCGAAGGCGGCUACCUGGACGGGUACUGACGCUGAUGCGCGAAAGCUAGGGGAGCAAACAGG
rnacentral:rRNA from 1 species